UACCUGGUUGAUCCUGCCAGUAGUCAUAUGCUUGUCUCAAAGAUUAAGCCAUGCAUGUCUAAGUAUAAACAAAUUCUAUACUGUGAAACUGCGAAUGGCUCAUUAAAUCAGUUAUGAUCUACAUGACAAUUCAUUACUACUUGGAUAACCGUGGUAAUUCUAGAGCUAAUACAUGCAACAAAAGCCUCGACUUCGGAAGGGGUGCACUUAUUAGGUAAAAGCCAACCUGGUGUUAAAGCCAGUUUUUUGGUGAUUCAUAAUAAUUCAAUGCUGAUCGCAUGGCCUUGUGCUGGCGACGGUUCAUUCGAUUUUCUGCCCUAUCAGGUUAAGAUUGUAAGAUAGAGGCUUACAUUGCCUACCACGGGUAACGGGGAAUUAGGGUUCGAUUCCGGAGAGGGAGCCUGAGAAACGGCUACCACAUCCAAGGAAGGCAGCAGGCGCGCAAAUUACCCAAUCCCAAUUCGGGGAGGUAGUGACAAUAAAUAACAAUGCAGGGCCUUUUAGGUCUUGCAAUUGGAAUGAGUACAAUUUAAAUCCCUUAACGAGGAUCUAUUGGAGGGCAAGUCUGGUGCCAGCAGCCGCGGUAAUUCCAGCUCCAAGAGCGUAUAUUAAAGUUGUUGCAGUUAAAACGUCCGUAGUCGAAUAGUAGCUUUUGGCUAGGUGACUUGAUCUUCAUUGGUCUAGUUCGCUUUAGUCAUGGCUCUCACGUUUGGUACUGUCUGGUUGGCUUCGGUCGGUUAGAUAUAAGGCCAAACAAAUUACCAUGAGCAAAUCAGAGUGUUUAAAGCAGGCUAUAAGCCUGAAUGUGUUAGCAUGGAAUAAUGAAAUAAGACGUGGCUCUAUAUUUCGUUGGUUUUAAGAGACCAUUGUAAUGAUGAAUAGGAACGGUUGGGGGGAUUUGUAUUUGGUCGCUAGAGGUGAAAUUCUUGGAUUGACCGAAGACAAACUACUGCGAAGGCAUUUCACCCAGGACGUUUUCAUUGAUCAGGGUCGAAAGUUAGGGGAUCGAAGACGAUUAGAUACCGUCGUAGUCUUAACAGCAAACUAUGCCGACUAGAGGUUGGAUAAGUACAUUAUGGCUUAUUCAGAAUCUUAGCGAAAGCAAAGUUUUUGGGUUCCGGGGGGAGUAUGGGACGCAAGGCUGAAACUUAAAGGAAUUGACGGAAGGGCACCACCAGGAGUGGAGCCUGCGGCUUAAUUUGACUCAACACGGGGAAACUCACCAGGUCCAGACAUAAGAAGGAUUGACAGAUUGAAAGCUCUUUCUAGAUUUUAUGGGUGGUGGUGCAUGGCCGUUCUUAGUUCGUGGAGUGAUUUGUCUGGUUAAUUCCGAUAACGAACGAGACCUUAUUUUACUAAAUAGACAGACCAACUUUUUAGUUGGGUUAAGCUUCGGCUUUUCUGUCUUCUUAGAGAAACUACCUGCGCUAAGCAGGAUGAAGUUAGGCAAUAACAGGUCUGUGAUGCCCUUAGAUGUUCUGGGCCGCACGCGCGCUACACUGACAUAGUCAACGAGUCUAUAACCUUGGCUGAGAAGCUUGGGUAAUCUUUUGAAACUAUGUCGUGCUGGGGAUUGAGCUCUGUAACUAUUGCUCAUCAACGAGGAAUUCCUAGUAAGCGCAAGUCAUCAGCUUGCGUUGAUUACGUCCCUGCCCUUUGUACACACCGCCCGUCGCUACUACCGAUUGAAUGGUUACAGCAAGAAUAUGGGAUUGUUGGGAGCUAGUUGGCAACAACCGGCUUUCGAUGAGAACUAGGUCAAGCUUUGCUAUUUAGAGGAAGUAAAAGUCGUAACAAGGUUUCCGUAGGUGAACCUGCGGAAGGAUCAUUA
rfam:Helobdella robusta unplaced genomic scaffold HELROscaffold_207, whole genome shotgun sequence.